CAGGAAACUGACGGAACUCUUCGGAGGGAAGGCAGCGGAAUGAGCGGCGGACGGGUGAGUAACACGUAAGGAACCUGCCUCAAGGAUUGGGAUAACUCCGAGAAAUCGGAGCUAAUACCGGAUAGUUCAUCGGACCGCAUGGUCCGUUGAUGAAAGGCGCUCCGGCGUCACCUUGAGAUGGCCUUGCGGUGCAUUAGCUAGUUGGUGGGGUAACGGCCCACCAAGGCGACGAUGCAUAGCCGACCUGAGAGGGUGAUCGGCCACACUGGGACUGAGACACGGCCCAGACUCCUACGGGAGGCAGCAGUAGGGAAUCUUCCACAAUGGACGAAAGUCUGAUGGAGCAACGCCGCGUGAGUGAUGAAGGUUUUCGGAUCGUAAAACUCUGUUGUAAGGGAAGAACACGUACGAGAGGAAAUGCUCGUACCUUGACGGUACCUUACGAGAAAGCCACGGCUAACUACGUGCCAGCAGCCGCGGUAAUACGUAGGUGGCAAGCGUUGUCCGGAAUUAUUGGGCGUAAAGCGCGCGCAGGCGGCCUUUUAAGUCUGAUGUGAAAGCCCCCGGCUCAACCGGGGAGGGCCAUUGGAAACUGGAAGGCUUGAGUACAGAAGAGAAGAGUGGAAUUCCACGUGUAGCGGUGAAAUGCGUAGAGAUGUGGAGGAACACCAGUGGCGAAGGCGACUCUUUGGUCUGUAACUGACGCUGAGGCGCGAAAGC
rnacentral:rRNA from 1 species